rnacentral:rRNA from 1 species
UACGGAGGGUGCGAGCGUUGUUCGGAAUUACUGGGCGUAAAGCGCGUGUAGGCGGCCUCCUAAGUCUGGUGUGAAAGCCCGGGGCUUACCCCCGGAAGUGCACUGGAUACUGGGAGGCUUGAGUACCGGAGAGGAGGGUGGAAUUCCAGGUGUAGCGGUGAAAUGCGUAGAUUUCAGGAAGAACAGCGGUGGCGAAGGCGGCCCUCUGGACGGAUACUGACGCUGGGACGCGAAAGCGUGGGGAGCAAACAGG